AUAGAUGAGUCAUUCGAGUGCUCUUAUCUUGGAUGUUAAAAAAAAUAGCUUGCUCUUCUGAACAUUUGGAACCCUACUAGCAGUAAACGAGUAAGCCGUCCUUAUUAUUUCUUUAUUUACCUCUAAGGAGAUCUCAAUUAAGUACGUCAAGGUUAGCGUUACGAUCAGAUUGGGAUUAGGGUUUUCCAAAUUUUCUAAAUAGUUUUAUUUUAAUUUUUUUAUACUGUGAAAUUAAAUUCCGGCAAUGCUAGAAUGCUAGCCGGUGAUGAGAAACGGUGCCAAAUAUGUACGAUAAUGAUGAGGUGUUUCUCUCUAUCCCUCUAUUUGUUUUCUUUUGGUUUGGAGCGAAUGCUGUGUCUGGUUGCUGGGAAACUGAAGGAAAGUUAAACUAGUGACUAGUGAGGUAACCCAGAAAGGCAAUAGUACCCUUUAUAGAUUUGACUGUCUGUUUCAAGUUAAAGAUGUUAAUGGUAAUAGGAAGCUGCCUGUGACGACACAUAUUUGGGACUUUGGAUCGGCAACAACAUUUUUGUGCGCCAUUGUAGAUUUUUUCUACAUGGGUUGUUUGCCUCAAGGAAGAAUGUGCCAAUAUGCUAAUCUGAGGCAAUCUUCUGCUACUUUUCUUCAUCUUUAUUUGCUAUUUAUGAAUGAACCAAAGACUUGUUGAUUUGCUCUGUCUAAUUGUUAUCUUAUAUGUCCUGAAAUGGGGUUUGUUUGAAUAAAUUUUCGGUUUUUUUUUUUUUUUUUAAAUAUCUUCAUCCUUUAUUUUUGGCAGUGAAUAUAUUUGACAAAAUCAGUAUGAGAAAUUUGCCAAUCACAAUCUAAGAAACUACAAUUGACAAAGUAACUUCUCUAUUUUUAAAGUUGGGGGUCUCCCAAAGUAGAAGAGACCAUAAGUGAUCUUACUUGUGUAAGAUGCAUAUAUGCCAUUUUACAAAAAAUAUUUAGUGCUGUAAAUAAUUUGGCUUUUUUUUUCAACAAAAUGUGAUUUUUGCGAAAGUUUUUUUUUCUUUCUUUAUUCUUAGAGCUGGUUGGUGAAUAUUAAUGUAAGAAAGUAAAUUAAGCAAAAUAACUAUUUGUUAUUUCAUUGAGGGUCACCCAGUAAUAUGAUCGCUAAAAGCGACAAUAAGAGUCAAUAGUAAAUGUUUUUGGGACUUUGUUCCGGCGCUAAUAUAAGUUUUUCUUAAGGUCAUUUUGGAGAAGGCUUGCAUGAUAUAGGGUUUUGUUUUGAUCAUACUAUAUAUAGUCAAGGCAUUGGUUUUAUUUUUAUUAGUCAUUGGGUGAAGAGCUCUCAAGUUAUCUCCCUGUGACUUUGUCCAGUUGAGUUACUUCAUAUGUAAUUUAAGUAAUAGUUUCUGAGCAUAUCUCGUAACUAACUUACCUCUGGCCAUUAGUAUUACUUCAAUCCCCUUCAAAUUUCUGUUGCCACCUGAAUGAUUGGUUUCGAUCAUUAUGCUGGACGUUAGUAGUUAAGAAUCUUACACUUGCUGCAUAAUUUUACUGACUCGCUUAAUCAUAUUCGAGCAUAUAUAUACAUAUGAUAUGGGUCGUAUGGCUGUUGAAUGGUAGGUUGCACCGUUCCAGAGGAUGGCCCUUUGGUUUGACCAACAGGUUUAUCCGUGAAUAUGUUUGACUUGUUGCUGCAUAGUCAUGUUGAGAAAGCAUAUCCUGACUCACAUCUAUUGCUUCGAGGAUAAGUAAAUUUGUAAGCUCUAUAUAAGUUCUCUAUUUCUUAAACUAAACUACAAACUUGAAAAUAUAUAUUUGCUAGAAAUACAGGUGAAUCUUUCCAGGGAUAGCGGCAGGAUACAGUAGUGUUAGUCUGAUAAACACUUGAGUAUGGGACCUGGUGGCCCUGGAGGUCCGGGUGGAGGUCCUGGCGGCCCUGGCUGGGGAGGUCCUGGUCCAGGCGGCCCUGGCUGGGGGGGUCCUGGUCCAGGUGGCCCUGGUUGGGGUCCUGGACCUGGAGGUCCUGGAUUUUGGCCUGGCCCUGGUGGCUUCUUCGGUGGCUUUGCUGAUGGUUUAUGCAGUAUGAUAUCAUCUUGCUUCUACUGCUUGUGCUGUUGCUGGUUGCUGCAGGACUGCUUUGGUGGACCUGGUGGCCGGUAUGGCCCCCCUGGUCCUGGUGGACCACCUCCUUUCUAAGUCAUUUUUCUUUUACUGCUCUGAGACUGAAACUUGCUGUUGAUUUAUCUCAAUCUCUUUGGACGCAAGUUGUACUGGUCGUGUUUUUUGUUUUUAGGAAGUACCGGACUUGUUUGUUAUUGAAUCAGUUUGUGUUAAAUAAAGAUCAUUUAAACAGUUA